AACGGCGAGUGAAGCGGCAAGAGCUCAAAUUUGAAAGCUGGCUCCUUCGGGGUCCGCAUUGUAAUUUGCAGAGGAUGCUUCGGGAGCGGUCCCCAUCUAAGUGCCCUGGAACGGGACGUCAUAGAGGGUGAGAAUCCCGUAUGGGAUGGGGUGUCCGCGCCCGUGUGAAGCUCCUUCGACGAGUCGAGUUGUUUGGGAAUGCAGCUCUAAAUGGGUGGUAAAUUUCAUCUAAAGCUAAAUAUUGGCCGGAGACCGAUAGCGCACAAGUAGAGUGAUCGAAAGAUGAAAAGCACUUUGAAAAGAGAGUUAAAAAGCACGUGAAAUUGUUGAAAGGGAAGCGCUUGCGACCAGACUCGCUCGCGGGGUUCAGCCGGCAUUCGUGCCGGUGUACUUCCCCGCGGGCGGGCCAGCGUCGGUUUGGGCGGUCGGUCAAAGGCCCUCGGAAGGUAACGCCCCCAGGGGCGUCUUAUAGCCGAGGGUGCAAUGCGACCUGCCUAGACCGAGGAACGCGCUUCGGCUCGGACGCUGGCAUAAUGGUCGUAAACGACCCGUCUUGAAACACGGACC
rnacentral:rRNA from 1 species